rnacentral:lncRNA from 1 species
GAGGCUUUCUUAUCUCACCUCCACACAUCUGUUCUCCUGUGUGAAACUGUUUAAGUCACACGGCACCGUCUGGCAGUCGCCAUGCGCGCACGUGCUGAGCCCAGACAGCCAUCCCUCCGCUGUCCUCUCCCAAGGCUGCAUAAACUGCGUUUCACCUCCACUGCAGAGGGCAGAGGCGAAGGCCACAGUGGGCCACAGAAACUGGUGCUCUGAACCAGCAGGUGGGCGCCCCUCCCGCUAGGCCCGGGGUGGGGGUCCCAACCCCAGAGCCAGUUGUACGGACUUUUAACAAAUCAGCUAGUUAAAAACUGGCUUUUGUGUGUUACCAGGAAAAGGGUUAGGGGUAGGAUUAGGACAAGUUGAGACCUAUUCCGUUGAUUAGGUUAUAUAAAGGAGGUAUCUUGAAUUCCGGGAAGUUCUUCCUUGAUUUACAUUUCCUGUCUAGACAUAAUUUGUACUUUUGGUUCUGAUACCCACUACUCCUGGUUUGUCUCCUUACAGUUGCUUCUUGGGUGACUCACCCAAAACCAGGGGAAGUAUGUCAGCAAACUGAGAGCAGCAAAGAUGGUCAUCAUUAAUUCUGAAUUGUUCCAGGGAUUACCUCGGGGAGGUUCACCAAGAUUUCGCUAAGGACAGAACUUGAGCCUCGGCACACCAGUGUGAACCUAUUCCCAACAAUGGAGUUGGCUGGAGACUCUGGAAAUCCAGGCUUUGCACUGUGAUCUGCCUUAUGAAGACUCUGAAUGCUGUGGUCUCAUCAGGAUGCAGGAGAUGGGCCAGCACUUAACAGAGAGGAGUCUGCUCUGUCUCUAGUCAGCACUUUCCUUGGUUACAGUUAAGAAAUGGGUGAGACUGAUUUGUAGAAUUUAUUCCAGUGAAAAUGCUAGCAUUAGUUUUGGAGCAAGCAGGAGUUUUGAAGAGAACCAUGUUCUUCCCUGGCAGGGCCAAAGCAUCAGUGAUGCUUCUGUAAUGAAGCAGCUGGAGUGAGACUCCAGAUCUCAGGCUGAGAAGCCCUAACAAGUUUUUUCUACUUGCCCCAAACCUUCAGGAGCACAUUGGCUUGCCACAGCCCAGCUUCAUUGGGAUCCUCAGCUCCACAUGCCUCCCUCAGCGUGAUUCCAGCACUGCCUACCUUGAGGGGAUGCAGAGGGAUCCCCACACAGGAGUGUGGCAUUUCACUGCCCCUGGCUGCUUUAGAAAGAGGUAUCAAGUCAGGCGUGGAGCCAAGUGCCUGUGAUCCCAGCACUCUGGGAGGCUGAGGCAGGACAAGUUCCAGUCCAGCCUGGGAAACUUGAGUCACUUAGCAAGACCUAAUUCUAAAAAAGGGGGGAGGGGGCUGGAGAUGUAGCUUAGUGGGAAGGCCCGCCGGGUGCAACAUUCACUAGGAAGGGAAAAAAAAAUGUGGUGUCAGGCAGCAAGUACAGAGCCUCACAGGCAGGUGGGGCUGCUCAGCUCCCCCACGUGGUGCAAGCCCUGGUCUGCUCAGGUGGCUUCCAGGAAGGACCCUGAUGUGCGAAGCACCAGUGUGUGCUCUGUGGGGCAGUGGCUCCUGGAGGGAGGGCACUGGCAGCAACAGAGCUCCAAACUCUGGUGCAUGAAAUACAAAGAAAACAGCAGCACUGGUGACAACACAUUUAUUUAUGUACCCUGUUGUGUAACUGGGAGGUGCUUUUCAUUUUCCAAUCGAUCAGUCAAAACAAUUAAAUUCCAGAAGGUAAACUAGUGUUUUAUUGUUGCUCAUAAGCACAGGUAAACAAACGGCAGCACAGCAAGGAAUGCUAGACACGUCUCAACUUUUGGUGGUUUAGGUAUGGUCCGCCAGGCUUUGGCAACAUAUCUGAUACAGAGGUUACUGCUAAGAUUCCAAACCUCAUGGUUUCCUUCAGACACAACAGGAAAACUUUGGACGUAACUUCUGAAUUUCAGAAAUUGAACCAAGAUUCUUGGAAAGUUGCAAGAGGC